UAAAGCCUCUGUCUCUCCUACCGCCCCCCAAAUCCCUAAAGCCUCUGUCUCUCCCACCGCCCCUCAAAGGAUCUUCCAAGGCGAGGCAGGCGAGGCAGGCGGCUACUUUGGUGAGCUCGGCGAGGCAGGCGGAGGGCUCGGGGCGGGACCCCGAUCGGUUGCCCCGGUUGCUUGGCGAGGCAGGCAGAGGGCUCCAGGCGGAGGCGUCGCGACACCCUGGGGAACAUCGUAUUCCGCAAGCUCGUCGGCUGCCCCGGUUGCCUCUGCCACGACUACGAUCACAUCAUCCCCUCCUCCAAGAAAAGGAGAGAUGGCAAUCGCUUCUCUUCGUAAGAGAUCCCCACAUGGCUCAGCAACGCUGCUGCGCUCCUCACCCCCGCCCGCCUAGAUCUUCGGUUUAACUCCCUCUCUGGCCCCAUUCCCUUCACUUUCUCUGUCGCUCGCCAGAAUAUUCCCCUCAUCGUCAUCCGCCACUUCAACUUUCAUUGCAACAUGGGAGGAUAAGGCCCUUUGCUCCUUUGCUGAUUCUGCUGUUGAUUUCGCGCACACUCCAGAUGCUUUGUCUAAAUUACUGGAUACUGUUAGAGAGCUAGGUGCAAGGAGAAUCAUCACAGUCUUCGGUUGUGCCGGCGAAAGUGACAAAGGGAAGCGACCAAUUAUGACAGAACUUCUUGUCGACAAAAGCGAAGUCGUCAUUUUGACAUCAGACAACCCGAAAACCGAGAAUCCAUGCAGAGGGCACGAAGACUAUCAAUUACAAGGUCAUAAGAAGAUACACCUUGAUGACAAGGAAGAAUGUAGGGAAGCUUUGCAUUAUAUCGACAAGUUGCAUUGGGCAAGGUUGGGAAAAAGAAUUCCGACGGUGAUUAAGCCAGUGAGAAGAUGAAGCCAUCUAUUGACCGAUCGCAAAGCUUUAAUUUCUUCAUUUUGUUUAGCAAGAAAUAUGUACUGAUUUUUGGACUUGGUCUCCUCUAUAAAUUUGGUCUGUUUUCAAUCCAAGGUGCUCUGCCAUUCUCAUCGGACCUGUGUCCGUUCAGCUUAGAACAAACUAAGCAAGCUCAACACUUUGGUGCAUUCUAGAACCUUCUUGUUGUUGAAUAAUUGAAGUGUACUUCUCUUCAAUCUUCCUCCCAUGAUUUAUAAGAGAUGGUGACGAGAAAUAUUUUGGCAGGUCAUUGGCGAUGUAUUGAAUCAAGUUUAAGAAUUUAGACAUAUUUUCAAAACUUUACAUUUGAUAGCAUGUGGAAAUGACAAAAACUCUAUUAUUGUGUUUUGUUUUUUGGUU